CCUACGGGGGGCAGCAGUGAGGAAUAUUGGUCAAUGGGCGGAAGCCUGAACCAGCCAAGUCGCGUGAGGGAUUAAGGCCCUGCGGGUCGUAAACCGCUUUUGCCGGGGAGCAGAGGUCCGGACGUGUCCGGGCCGGGAGAGUACCCGGAGAAAAGGCAUCGGCUAACUCCGUGCCAGCGGCCGCGGUAAUACGGAGGAUGCGAGCGUUAUCCGGAUUUAUUGGGUUUAAGGGGUGCGUAGGCGGGCAUUUAAGGCGGCGGUAAAAUGUCGGGGCUCAACCCCGGCCUGCCGCCGGAACUGGGUGCCUUGAGUGGGCGAGAAGUAUGCGGAAUGCGUGGUGUAGCGGUGAAAUGCAUAGAUAUCACGCAGAACCCCGAUUGCGAAGGCAGCAUACCGGCGCCCUACUGACGCUGAGGCACGAAAGUGCGGGUAUCGAACAGGAUUAGAUACCCCAGUAGUC
rnacentral:rRNA from 1 species